UGGGGAAUAUUGCACAAUGGGCGCAAGCCUGAUGCAGCCACGCCGCGUGUGUGAAGAAGGCCUUCGGGUUGUAAAGCACUUUCAGCGAGGAGGAAGGCGUUAAGGUUAAUAACCUUAGCGAUUGACGUUACUCGCAGAAGAAGCACCGGCUAACUCCGUGCCAGCAGCCGCGGUAAUACGGAGGGUGCAAGCGUUAAUCGGAAUUACUGGGCGUAAAGCGCACGCAGGCGGUUUGUUAAGUCAGAUGUGAAAUCCCCGAGCUUAACUUGGGAACUGCAUUUGAAACUGGCAAGCUAGAGUCUUGUAGAGGGGGGUAGAAUUCCAGGUGUAGCGGUGAAAUGCGUAGAGAUCUGGAGGAAUACCGGUGGCGAAGGCGGCCCCCUGGACAAAGACUGACGCUCAGGUGCGAAGGCGUGGGGCAGCAAACAGGAUUAGAUACCCUGGUAGUCCAGCGCUGUAAAA
rnacentral:rRNA from 1 species